GGAUCCAGACUUUGAUUAUGGCUCAGGAUGAACGCUAGCUACAGGCUUAACACAUGCAAGUCGAGGGGCAGCAUGGUCUUAGCUUGCUAAGGCCGAUGGCGACCGGCGCACGGGUGAGUAACACGUAUCCAACCUGCCGUCUACUCUUGGACAGCCUUCUGAAAGGAAGAUUAAUACAAGAUGGCAUCAUGAGUCCGCAUGUUCACAUGAUUAAAGGUAUUCCGGUAGACGAUGGGGAUGCGUUCCAUUAGAUAGUAGGCGGGGUAACGGCCCACCUAGUCUUCGAUGGAUAGGGGUUCUGAGAGGAAGGUCCCCCACAUUGGAACUGAGACACGGUCCAAACUCCUACGGGAGGCAGCAGUGAGGAAUAUUGGUCAAUGGGCGAGAGCCUGAACCAGCCAAGUAGCGUGAAGGAUGACUGCCCUAUGGGUUGUAAACUUCUUUUAUAAAGGAAUAAAGUCGGGUAUGCAUACCCGUUUGCAUGUACUUUAUGAAUAAGGAUCGGCUAACUCCGUGCCAGCAGCCGCGGUAAUACGGAGGAUCCGAGCGUUAUCCGGAUUUAUUGGGUUUAAAGGGAGCGUAGAUGGAUGUUUAAGUCAGUUGUGAAAGUUUGCGGCUCAACCGUAAAAUUGCAGUUGAUACUGGAUAUCUUGAGUGCAGUUGAGGCAGGCGGAAUUCGUGGUGUAGCGGUGAAAUGCUUAGAUAUCACGAAGAACUCCGAUUGCGAAGGCAGCCUGCUAAGCUGCAACUGACAUUGAGGCUCGAAAGUGUGGGUAUCAAACAGGAUUAGAUACCCUGGUAGUCCACACGGUAAACGAUGAAUACUCGCUGUUUGCGAUAUACGGCAAGCGGCCAAGCGAAAGCGUUAAGUAUUCCACCUGGGGAGUACGCCGGCAACGGUGCAA
rnacentral:rRNA from 1 species